rnacentral:rRNA from 1 species
GAUGAACGCUAGCGGGAGGCCUAACACAUGCAAGCCGAGCGGUAUUGUUUCUUCGGAAAUGAGAGAGCGGCGUACGGGUGCGUAACGCGUGUGCAACCUGCCUUUAUCUGGGGGAUAGCCUUUCGAAAGGAAGAUUAAUACUCCAUAAUAUAUUGAACGGCAUCGUUUAAUAUUGAAAGCUCCGGCGGAUAGAGAUGGGCACGCGCAAGAUUAGCUAGUUGGUGAGGUAACGGCUCACCAAGGCGAUGAUCUUUAGGGGGCCUGAGAGGGUGAUCCCCCACACUGGUACUGAGACACGGACCAGACUCCUACGGGAGGCAGCAGUGAGGAAUAUUGGUCAAUGGGUGCAAGCCUGAACCAGCCAUCCCGCGUGAAGGACGACUGCCCUAUGGGUUGUAAACUUCUUUUGUAUAGGGAUAAACCUACCCUCGUGAGGGUAGCUGAAGGUACUAUACGAAUAAGCACCGGCUAACUCCGUG